AAAUAAUGAGAUUGUUUUCCAAAACAAUUUUCAACUAAAAAAAUUUUAAUUUUCAAAAUAAAUUUUUUUAUUUGAACAUUGAACAAAAUAAAAAAAAUUAUGACGACUUUAUUGGCUGUUUUAACUUUUAAAAGGAAAAAAAUUAGUUAAAAAAGAGCAAUGCUUGUUGGUUGUUCAUCCUCUAAAUAUAGAAUAGUUGCAACAAAGGAAUAUUGUUCAUCAUGAACAUUUGUUUUCCACUUCAGCGUACCCAAGACUGUUUCUCGGCGGUGAUGAAGACGCAGAUGAAGGGAAACUCUUGAUUACAUUUUCAAUCGCACUUAAUACAGGUAAAGAAAUUAAAUGAAGAGUCAUAGUAAAUUCGAGUUUUGUUAACAUCACAGUGACUGAAGCAAAAGUCGGGAAAAAGUCUAUUAGGAAGAGAAAACAAAAAGGCUUUUCUGAAGGUCAGAUUUUUUUCAAGGUCAAAUAUUUUUUGGUAUAGGAUUGAGAAUUGUAUGUGCUAAAUUAGAUUGUUUUUUACCAAUUGAUUUUAAGAUCAGUGGAGGGGUUUAGCGUCUUCAAAAAAGUGUCAAUUCAGUUAAUGAAACUGAACAGAAUAAUGAGGAAAACGAGAAACAUUCUGGAAAGAAAGAAGUAUCCCGGCAAUAAGAGGUCUUUUUUGUCUCAUCUUUGCUUUCCAAAUUCUUAUAAGUAUGCCUAUGACUAUUUUUAAAAAUUAUCUUAUGUAGUUAUCUCCUGAAUGUGCUGCUUUGGACAUUACUGUGCCACUGUUGAUCUUGAAAUCCUGAACCUUGGUUUUAAAUUUUUUUCAAUAUUGUACUUUACUAGAAUGGAUCUAUGCCUUUUAUGAUGCAGUUUUGCAUAAAGAGCAUGGUAUACAUAUUUCUGGAAGCAAUGUUCCACCAAGUUUUGAGCUCAGUACUAGGUGAAGCUUUAAUUUGCAACGUUUAAAAGAAAUGCUUGUUACAUGUGGCAUCAUUCACCCUCCCCAAAUCGUGAUCAUAACUUCUAUAAGUGGGAUAUACUAGAUAUAUAGAUUUGUGCAAUUUGUUGGUACACCGGUCUGGAGAUGGUCAACAAAUUGGAUACAGAGAUGUCUCAGUUAGAAGCUACUCGGAGAAUCUACUCACAGGUGUUAACUCCACUCUCAUUGCACCAUUCAUUGAGACUUAGUUAUUUGAAAUUUAAUGUACUGAGUUAUCAAAGCUUACUUUUCAAGGAGAUGGCUAUUAUCAGUCCAAUGCAUCAGGUAUGCUCUUUAAUAGUUAUUCUUGUGUAAUGUUACAGAUAUGAGUGAACACUGUGCAACUUGAUACGUUAAACAAACCAGGCAGAAAUUGUAGUUAAAUUUUUUUUUCCAAAUUACAACAAACCUCUCAACGCCUAAAACUGGACCAAACUAUUUUAAAACAAUUUCAUUUGGUGGUUUUACUAUUUUUUACUUUUUCAUUAUCGUACCAUUUAGAUACAUACAAAUAUUAGCAAAACUAAUUUUCAAACCUAAAUACUGAUUCUCCAACCAAUCUUGGAACAUUUUUGGCUUAGAUACUUUGGUACAAAUUAAAUAAGGUUACAAACAUUUAUAAUUGCGGUUUAGAAUCAAAUAUUAAAAAAAUGCCAAAUUUAAAAUAUUGAACCAUAUCACAAACCAAGAUUUAAAAAUCGAACUGCUUUCUUUUUUUAAUCGCAAAUCGGAUAUAACCCCUAAAUUGUAGUUUAGUAUGAUUUGGUUUGUUGUUUAGUUUAAAACUGUAUGCAACCCCAUACUUUGGAGAGUAAAGCAAAAUGAUAGGAUUUUGUCGUCACAACGUUUGUUCCUGUCGUGGUGUUUAAGUUUCUAUGUAUAUAUGACAUCAAGUAUAUAUUUAUCGACACUUGCAAUAUAUGUUGUGGUUAUAUUAUUAGCUAUAACAAUUGUUAGAAAAUAUAGCUUUUCUGUUUAAAUUAGUUUCAGCUUGUUUCUGCAAGUACCUUUGUGAAUUAUUGUCUGUUGGGAUUUCUUAGACUACAGGGAUACAUUGGCUGAACGGAUGGCUUGGUCGAUAAUGGAUUGCGUUGUUUGACGAUGACUUAGGCUGUUUAUAAGAGAGUUGUGCUGCUGCAACGUUACAGAAUACUGUGUAGAAUCGCUUGAUUGCACGCUCUGCCCAUCCUCUCUGUUCUCAUUGUUUCAACCCUAUUCGACAAUUUGCGAUUCACUAUAUUUAUUGGCUUCUUAAUUGACUGUAUGCACCAUUAUCUUCACAAGCUCAUCAACAUUAGAAGCAAGAUUAGAGAGUAGCUUGGUAAAGAAGCCAAAAGAGUCGGUUAGGGAAGGGAUUCAAGGGGUAGAGAUAUUGAUUACCCCUUGUUCAUACUUGUUACUAAUAAAUUUCUAUCAUUUGCCACUCUAGUCUUUUUGAGGAAUUCCCAUGCAAUGCAAGGUUCAUCUUCUUUAAUCGAUUAGCUGUUGUUAAAUUUUAAUCUUUGUACAUUUCUUGUUCUUUAAACGCUUUGAUUAAUGGUAAUGUCUUGCACAUGUUUGAUUCAAGUGAAAAUUUGAUUGCAUACAAUUUUGUUGGUCAAUAAUUUUAAAAUAAAUGUCGAAUAGCAUUUGAAUGUUGUAAGACUAAGAUCUUCUUGCUGGGAGCAACUUGCGUCGUAUAUGUUUUUUUGUUGUAUAUGGUCAAUUUGUUCGUUCGUGUGUGUCGCUGUAAUCUCAUAUUUGGCAUUUUCAGUGACAUUGCUCAACUCAAUUCAACCACAUAUCAACAAAUGCAAGACAAUUCAGCUAAUAAGAUUUUAUCAUACUCUCUUCGUACUACAAAAUUGAGAUUGAGUAUUUUCAUUUGUAUUAUUGUUAAUAGAAAUAUAUAAAAUAGCAUUUAUAAAUUCGAUACUCUAACUUGGGGGACCAUGUGCAUAGCACGCGGCCCCAUAACUAGUAAUAACAAACAAACUAUACACAAAUUCUUGUAUGGGACGGUCUCACCGUGAGACGUGUCUCAUACUUGGGUUAAAUAGCCCAAUAAUAAAAAUUUUUAGCAUAAUGGGUCUUAGUAUGGAGUCGUCUCACGAUGAGACGGUCUCAUACAAGAGGGAUUGGUUAUUUUUUGUCCUUAUAAAAAUUAUAAUAUUGUCUUUCAUUUGUUCAUUGUAAGUAACAGUGAACAAAGUUUUGGUAAAUUUUUUUUCUCUUGUUCGUUAUUGCCUUGUUGGUAACAUCGAACAAACAUAAAC